AACGAACGCUGGCGGCGUGCUUAACACAUGCAAGUCGAGCGCGAACGCCACCUUCGGGUGGCUAGUAGAGCGGCGCACGGGUGAGUAACACGUAGGUAAUCUACCUUCGGGUCUGGAAUAACCCAGGGAAACCUGGGCUAAUACCGGAUAAGACCACGGAUCUUACAGUUCUGUGGGAAAAGCGGGGGAUCCCUUCGGGGGCCUUGUGCCUGUAGAUGAGCCUGCGGCCCAUCAGCUUGUUGGCGGGGUAAUGGCCCACCAAGGCUAAGACGGGUAGCUGGUCUGAGAGGAUGAUCAGCCACACUGGAACUGAGACACGGUCCAGACUCCUACGGGU
rnacentral:rRNA from 1 species